GAUGAACGCUGGCGGCGUGCCUAAUACAUGCAAGUCGAACGAAGAACUUCGGUUCUUAGUGGCGAACGGGUGAGUAACACGUAGGUAACCUGCCCAUAAGACUGGGAUAACUAUUGGAAACGAUAGCUAAUACCGGAUAGGAUGAUUUAAGGCAUCUUGAAUCAUUUAAAGUUGAGAUACACUUAUGGAUGGACCUGCGGUGCAUUAGUUAGUUGGUAGGGUAACGGCCUACCAAGACGAUGAUGCAUAGCCGACCUGAGAGGGUGAACGGCCACACUGGGACUGAGACACGGCCCAGACUCCUACGGGAGGCGGCAGUGGGGAAUAUUGGGCAAUGGGGGAAACCCUGACCCAGCAACGCCGCGUGAAGGAGAAGGCCUCGGGUUGUAAACUUUGUUGUCAGCGAGAAAAAGGACUGUAACUGACGAGAAAGCCCCGGCUAACUACGUGCCAGCAGCCGC
rnacentral:rRNA from 1 species